GACGAACGCUGGCGGCGUGCCUAAUACAUGCAAGUAGAACGCAUUUUCGAACGGGUGAGUAACGCGUGGGUACCUGCCCCAUAGCGGGGGGUAACUAUUGGGAACGCUAGCUAAUACCGCAUACUGUGAGAUGGACCUGCGUCGUAUUAGUGAGUUGGUGGGGUAAAGGCCCACCAAGGCGACGAUACAUAGCCGACCUGAGAGGGUGAACGGCCACACUGGGACUGGGAAACGGCCCAGACUCCUACGGGAGGCAGCAGUAGGGAAUCUUCGGCAAUGGACGGAAGUCUGACGGAGCAACGCCGCGUGAGUGAAGAAGGUUUUCGGAUCGUAAAGCUCUGUUGUUAGGGAAGCGGUAACGAACCAGAAAGGGACGGCUAACUACGUGCCAGCAGCCGCGGUAAUUC
rnacentral:rRNA from 1 species